rnacentral:lncRNA from 1 species
AUAUUUGUAAUGCUAAACGCCGAUAUAGAAAAGAUGUGGAACUUUAACCUCUGUGUGAAAAGUGUUUUAGGAUUAUGACAACCUACCCUUUUGAUAUGUGCUUCAAACUCGUCUCUCAUUCUAUUGUAUGUUAGUAUUAUGCUUUGAAGUUGGGAAUUGUUCUUAAUGUACUGAAUUAUAAUGUACAAAAUAUCUCAUGUUUAAUUUCAUUAUCUCUCUCAUCUCGCAUAGUAGUUGACGAUAACUCACGGAUGAAGUAAAGCUUUUCUUUGCUAGCUUCAGUACUUAUGGUCAGAAAAUUAAAUA